UACUGCCUGAUGUCUUGGAGUGACAGUCCUU
rnacentral:piRNA from 1 species